rnacentral:ncRNA from 1 species
CAACCUCAACUCAUAUGGGACUACCCCCUGAAUUUAAGCAUAUUAAUUAGGGGAGGAAAAGAAACUAACAAGGAUUUUCUUAGUAGCGGCGAGCGAAAAGAAAUCAGUUCAGCACUAAGUCACUUUGUCUAUAUGGCAAAUGUGAGAUGCAGUGUACGGAACAUCAACAUUCUAGUAUGAGAAGUUAACGAUUUAAGUCCUUCUUAAAUGAGGCCAUUUACCCAUAGAGGGUGCCAGGCCCGUAUAACGUUAAUGAUUACUAGAUGGUGUUUCCAAAGAGUCGUGUUGCUUGAUAGUGCAGCACUAAGUGGGUGGUAAACUCCAUCUAAAACUAAAUAUAACCAUGAGACCGAUAGUAAACAAGUACCGUGAGGGAAAGUUGAAAAGAACUCUGAAUAGAGAGUUAAAUAGUACGUGAAACUGCUUAGAGGUUAAGCCCGAUGAACCUGAAUAUCCGUUAUGGAAAAUUCAUCAUUAGAAUUGUAAUAUUUUAAACAAUAUUAUAAUAAUAGUGUGCAUUUUUUCCAUAUAAGGACAUUGUAAUCUAUUAGCAUAAAUAUUUAUCAUAAAAUUAUGUCUGAUUGCUUAAUUUGAAUAUAUGCUUGGGCAUUUUACAUAAAAUAAAGAUAUAAAUUUGAUAAGGUGCUGAUAGAUUAUAUGAUUACAGUGCGUUAAAUUUUUCGAAAUAUAUAUGGCAUAAUAUCAUUGGAUAUUUGUGUUAUUAUAUGCAAUUGGUAUGAUUAACAAUGCGAAAGAAUUCAGGAAUCCCUUCG